rnacentral:rRNA from 1 species
GACGAACGCUGGCGGCGUGCUUAACACAUGCAAGUCGAACGGAAAGGCCCUGCUUUUGUGGGUUUCUCGAUUGGCGAACGGGUGAGUAACACGUGAGUAUCCUGCCCUUGACUUUGGGAUAACUUCAGGAAACUGGGGCUAAUACCGGAUAUGAUCUCCUGCUGCAUGGUGGGGGUUGGAAAGUUUCGGCGGUUGGGGAUGGACUCGCGGCUUAUCAGCUUGUUGGUGGGGUAGUGGCUUACCAAGGCUUUGACGGGUAGCCGGCCUGAGAGGGUGACCGGCCACAUUGGGACUGAGAUACGGCCCAGAAUCCUACGGGAGGCAGCAGGGGGGAAUAUUGCACAAUGGGCGGAAGCCUGAUGCAGCAACGCCGCGUGCGGGAUGACGGCCUUCGGGUUGUAAACCGCUUUCGCCUGUGACGAAGCGUGAGUGACGGUAAUGGGUAAAGAAGCACCGGCUAACUACGUG